rnacentral:rRNA from 1 species
AGUGAACGCUGGCGGUAGGCCUAACACAUGCAAGUCGAACGGCAGCACAGUAAGAGCUUGCUCUUACGGGUGGCGAGUGGCGGACGGGUGAGGAAUACAUCGGAAUCUACUUUUUCGUGGGGGAUAACGUAGGGAAACUUACGCUAAUACCGCAUACGACCUACGGGUGAAAGCAGGGGAUCUUCGGACCUUGCGCGAUUGAAUGAGCCGAUGUCGGAUUAGCUAGUUGGCGGGGUAAAGGCCCACCAAGGCGACGAUCCGUAGCUGGUCUGAGAGGAUGAUCAGCCACACUGGAACUGAGCCACGGUCCAGACUCCUACGGGAGGCAGCAGUGGGGAAUAUUGGACAAUGGGCGCAAGCCUGAUCCAGCCAUACCGCGUGGGUUAAGAAGGCCUUCGGGUUGUAAAGCCCUUUUGUUGGGAAAGAAAAGCAGCAGGUUAAUACCCCGCUGUUCUGACGGUACCCAAAGAAUAAGCACCGGCUAACUUCGUG